CCCUUAGAUGUCCUGGGCCGCACGCGCGUUACACUGAUGCAUUCAACGAGCUUAUAACCUUGGCCGAGAGGCCUGGGCAAUCUUGUUAACGUGCAUCGUGAUAGGGAUAGAUUAUUGAAAUUAUUAAUCUUGAACGAGGAAUUCCUAGUAAACGCAGAUCAUCAAUCUGCAUUGAUUACGUCCCUGCCCUUUGUACACACCGCCCGUCGCACCUACCGAUUGGAUGGUCCGGUGAAGCCUUGGGAUUGUGGUUCUUGCCGCUUUAUUGUGGCGUGACCGCGAGAACUUGUCUAAACCUUAUCAUCUAGAGGAAGGUGAAGUCGUAACA
rnacentral:rRNA from 1 species